rnacentral:rRNA from 1 species
CCUAACACAUGCAAGCCGAGCGGUAGAGAUUCUUCGGAAUCUUGAGAGCGGCGUACGGGUGCGGAACACGUGUGCAACCUGCCUUUAUCAGGGGGAUAGCCUUUCGAAAGGAAGAUUAAUACCCCAUAAUAUAUUAACUGGCAUCAGUGAAUAUUGAAAACUACGGUGGAUAGAGAUGGGCACGCGCAAGAUUAGCUAGUUGGUGAGGUAACGGCUCACCAAGGCGACGAUCUUUAGGGGGCCUGAGAGGGUGAUCCCCCACACUGGUACUGAGACACGGACCAGACUCCUACGGGAGGCAGCAGUGAGGAAUAUUGGACAAUGGGUGGAAGCCUGAUCCAGCCAUCCCGCGUGCAGGAAGACGGCCCUAUGGGUUGUAAACCGCUUUUAUCUGGGGAUAAACCUACUUACGUGUAAGUAGCUGAAGGUACCAGAAGAAUAAGCACCGGCUAACUCCGUGCCAGCAGCCGCGGUAAUACGGAGGGUACAAGCGUUAUCCGGAUUUAUUGGGUUUAAAGGGUCCGUAGGCGGACUAGUAAGUCAGUGGUGAGAUCCGACAGCUUAACUGUCGAACUGCCAUUGAUACUGCUAGUCUUGAGUAAGGUUGAAGUGGCUGGAAUAAGUAGUGUAGCGGUGAAAUGCAGAGAUAUUACUUAAAACACCGAUUGCGAAGGCAGGUCACCUAGUCUUAAGUGACGCUGAGGGACGAAAGCGGGAGAGGCGAAAAGGAUUAGAUCCGCUGGUGGUCC